ensembl:lncRNA novel transcript
ACGCAGAGUGGCAUAUUGUUAUGUAGUAUUUCUACCACACAGAUAUAAUACACAUAAAUAACUUCAAGAUCAGAGAUAAUACUGAAAGAUGGAGUCUCACUCUGUCGCCCAGGCUGGAGUGCAGUGGCACCAUCUCGGCUCACUGCAACUUCCGCCUCCCAGGUUCAAGAGAUCCUCCUGCCUCAGCCCCACUAGUAGCUGGGAUUACAGGGAAAUCUAUUAUGGGAUGGCCUGGAUAUAUCACUUUAAAAAUCCUGCUUUUAAUGAACAAAUGAGAAAAGACCAAGAAAUUGAGCUACAGUGAGGUCACACAGCCGAGAAUCACACAGUGAAGAGUUGGGAUUUGAGCCUGGAAUACUCUGACCUCAGAGUCUGGAUGCUAGUCUCUUGCUGCCUCCCCUGUGUUAUGAGGUCAUGUCUAAAUCACCUCCGUUACUGAAAAUGCUUGUGAAAGACCUAUUCUGCUGGAUAGAGCAGUCACCUUAGUCAAAUAUGAUCCAAAUGUUGCCAUUAGGUCCUACCCAACCCCAUCAAAGAUCAGAACCUGGAGGUGUGGUAACUCCCUCCAGUCCAGAAAAAAAAAAAAAAAAACAAACCCAGUAGGUCAGAGUAAGGAGCUGCUCUGAGCCAUCAGUGGGAGGGUUAAGUUAAAGAAUAGAAAGAUGUAACCUGACCCAAAACUUAGCUCUCAUUUUCAACAGGCAAGAGCUCCUUGCAGGGUGACCUUGACUCAGACCCACAAUUUCAUCUUUUUUUUUUGUUUUCUUUUUGGAAUGGCAAUAACAAUGUCUGCCCAGCAUCCACCACUUUAAGUUGGUGUUUACAAUAGAACUGACACAGCCCUUUAAGCAGGCUCUUGCGUGCAGAGUUAACUCUCCCCUUGCACACAGAGCAGAUCGUCAGGCUCCCUCCAGCCCCAGGACCUUUCUCUAACCAUAAAAAGGCAAUUGUACCUCUAAACCCCAAAUCCUUACCUAUCCCUGCUGCACCCAGCUGUGCAAGGUGAGUCCUAGGAGGUCACAUCCCACAUGAUUCCACGUUUUCUCAUCAGUAUCCUUUGCUAGUUCCAGAUAUUGCAACAUCACUACUGUUCAAGAUUAGAACUUAAGAACUUGAAAAGGUCAAGAAAGAUGUGGUGCCUUGUCUCCACAUCAAGUAAACAGUCCGUGGCAUUGGCCUCUGACAAAUGACAACAGACUCACGGGGCAGCAGUUGAGGAGCUGUGCUUACAUGAUACUUACCAUCCUGAGAAGCAUGGAUGUAUGGGGAUACCCAUACCCUGGUAACCCAACCCCAUGGGCUCAGACAGUGUUGAACACUAGAGAAUCUUCAUCAUUUGCUCAGCUGUCACCACUUCCACAGAUGCAAGAAAUGGCCGAUGGUUCUAGAGGAUGACCCCAGCCUCUCAAAUAGAAAAGGGAGUGUGUUAGAUGUCAUCCAGCCAGUCGUAUAGAAAGGUGGACUUUAAGAAACUGUGGUUAAUGUUGGAAGGAAACAUAAGGCAGCUUUUAAAGCUAUUUUCAUAGUCUUCAAAGAGAAAUAAAUGACCAGCGCCGACGGCUGCAGACAGCAGGACAGGCAGCCUGACGGAGCUCUGUAUUCA